UGGGGCAAAUAAGGGGUACCACUCAAAACAUUUGAAUCAAACCUGCAUGACUAAAAGAGGGUGGUGAAAAAAGCCAAGAAGAUUAGAAAUGUCUUUUGAGGGAAAUUGUAGAAAUUCUUAUAUCUAAAGGGAGGAGAGCCCCGCUCAGAGGCCUCCCAUGGCUCACGCAUGACUUGAUGGUCAUUCAGCUAGAUGUCCAGUGGAUGUCUGGAUGGGGGUGCAGAACUGCCCUCCCUCCUUGCUCAAGGCUGCCCCAGCCCCCAUCACCCACAGACUGAUUGCAUCACACUCUCUGUAACCUGUAUUCUCUCUCCAGGUAGCCCAGCAGUGGGGGCACUUAGAGAAGGGCAGGAUGCCUUUGCUUAUGCUAGGCAGGCCAAGGGAGCUCCAGGUGGCAGUGGGAUGAAGUAGGAAGGGCCAUGAAGAAACUUCCGGGAGAGGCAAAUGUUCUAUAUCGUGGAGGGGUCUGGGCUUAUCAGCGUUUGCAUUCAUCAGCACUCAUAGGAUGGUAACACUUAAGAUUGUGCAAUUCACUAUAUAUAAAUCUCAUCUCAAGAAAAGAAACUAAGCAAAUGUUGAGCUCUAAUGAAUGACACAGAUGGACACAUGCAAGCAGAAGUGUUGCAAGGUAAAGUAUACUGAUGUUAAUGACUUUGAAAUGCAUCAAAAAGAAUAUGAGCGAACGGAGAGAUGGGAAGAUAAUCAGGGUCACAGGAAGAGCGUCUGUUGUGGGAAUUAUUAUAUGAUCAUCUCACUUUUUAAGGAAAAACUGAGGCUCCAUGAGGGGAAGCGAAGAGACAGUUUUCACACAACUACUCAGGGCCACUCACUAGGUCUAGAGCCUUUCCCAUCACUCCAGGCCUUCUGGAAUAAAGAGGGGAGCCAGCCCUCCACCUUCUGCUUAUGGGAUGACUCCAGACAUGUGCCAGAUCCCGCGUCCCUGGCUUUUUUAGGAAGGUGAGUGCUCCCUAGCUGAGUUUUGUGGGACUCUUUUCCUCACAGGCAGAUGAUUCGGUCUUAGUUACUAGUUAAUUGGAGGCAAAGAGCUUUGACUUCCCUUUCACAUCCUGGCAUUGUGUGGCUCCCAGCCAUGGGAUUAGGUAAGUCUCUCUGAAUCCCAGAUUGGAAACAUUCCCAUGAUAAAGGGCUUCUGAAGGUGAUGGAAUCAGACCGUGGGAGAAUCACACUUCCAAAAAUAGACAAACUGGACUUCAUCAGAGUUAAAAUCCUGUGUGCAGGGAGGGGAGAGAAUUGGAGAAGCCUCAUUUCCUAUUUUACUACUAAAGAAGCACAUGGGUGUGUCAUCAGUGUAGCUGGUACUCAAACGGGCCCCAC
rnacentral:lncRNA from 1 species